GCGGGCGGAAGGGUUUAGCGGUUCCGCGGUAUCCAAUUCCCAGUCUCGGCGAACCGAGUGCUCUCAGUGUGGAAGGGAGUGAGACGCAGAGUGAAGCCGAGGACUUAUUAUUCCUUUCGCGGGAGUUACGCCUCGCUACGUUCACGUCCAUUAGUUCCGGGCAGAACGCGGAGUCCGCCAGAAGCCUUCGCUGAAGACGUCGCGAGUGAAGCGAGAGAAACAAGCAGUUUUGCAAGGCUGUGGCAAGGAAGGUGUUUUCCUCUUGCAAUUGGGGACCGGGAGCAAUGGAAGGGUUUUAAAUACCGCGGUAGGGGUAAGGUGUUCCGAAGGUUUCUAAGAUCGGGGUCUUUAAAGCAGAUCGAUGCCAAGAUUAGAUAGUGGGCUGGAUAAAAGGACUCUGUGGUAUAUGCCCUCCCUUCCGCCCCCGCACAAGAGUACAAUUGGGAAGGAGAGGGGGUCCAGUUAAUUGCAUGAUUGCCAUCCCUACCUUUUAGGAAAGAUAAAGUCUGAAAGACUAGGGGGUAUGAAGGCCAGAUGUUCGGAUGGUGGGGGCUAGACUUCCCACAGAGACAGAUCAAGGCUGUGGUACUAAGCACCCCUGGGUGUGCUCACUCUGCAGGGCGAGCCUCGUCUGUGUCCCUGGAAGUUGCUGAAGGUGCUUGGGAGUGGAGGAAGUAGCUACCAUUUUGUGCAAACAUUAGGUGCUCGAGGCUACAGAGAAUUAAGUCUUAUGAGGACCAAGGAUCAGAACAUUGGGGCAGCAUUCAAAGUAAGGCAGGAUGUGGUUUUCAGUGCGUCAGCACAGCCUCCCGUAGUCCAAAGGCCCCAAGGAAAGUCUUGGUUUUCACCCUGGAAGCAGCAAGGCUUUGGCGUCACUGAUAGGAAUCAGAGUAUAAACUAUACUCAAGAUAGGAGACUAGGGGAGUAAAGUCAAGGAAGUUACUAGUAGAAGAUCGAUACAUUUCCAGUUUCCAUUUCAAACACAGUAUCUAUACCUGCAGUGAUAAAAGUAUCUAGACUCUAAACCAGGAGGUGGUGACGCAAGCCUUUAAUCCCAGCACCGGGGAGGCAGAGGCAGGCAGGUCUCUGUGAGUUCCUGGCCCACCGAGAGAGUUCCAGAACAGCCAGGGGCUACAUAGAGAAACCCUGUCUUGAAAAACCAAAGAGACAACCCCCGCAUCCAAAAAAAAAAAAAAAGUAAGCUGUGUCAAAACUAAGGUCUGGGAAAGCAGAGCUGAGUAGAGCUAACAAGGAACUGUGAGUUACUAAUUAGUAAGGCCUGUAGUGGGCUGUGUUGUAUACAGCCUCUGUAUUUGUGCCUAUUGAGAAAAUAUAAUAAUAAAAUAAUGCAGGCCUGUUUUCACAUAGUGCUUCUGGGCUCAGUCAACACUCUUUUGUUUAAGUAGUUGAUGUGUUUUGAACAUUGCUCUGUAAGACGCUUUUUUUAUCCAUAUGACUAGCUCGCUUCCGUGUUUAUUGUGGCCUGGCACGAUUUCCAGGUGCCAAGCCCUUCUUGGUAUCAGAGUACCUGGUACAAAGUGCUCCUCACUUAGGGUUGGAUGGCUGGUGGGUGGUGUUUUAUUUUAAGUGUGAAUAUUAAAUAAAUGUUUCCUGGGUUGUA
rnacentral:lncRNA from 1 species